GGCUGCUAAAAUCCCCCAAAAUAGAAACAACUAGACAUGUAUGCUUCUUGAUGAAAUUUUAAAAGAAUGCAAUCAACAAAAUCCAAAAUGUGAAACUCUGUAGAGAAAAUGACUCAACUUUCAUCAACAGAUAAAUUGCAAGAAACAAAAAGAAAUGGAGGGAGAACUUAUGGAUUAAAAGAUUUAUAAAAGACAUAACAACCAAAGAUCCAGGGAUAUGAUUUCAAAGCUCAUGUGGAAUGAAGACUGCCCCACCUGAAAGCAAUCUACCCAAGUAAAAAGGAGAAGGAAGAAAAGAAAAGGGCAGAAUGCAACUGAAGCCCACAAUUUGGGAUAUCUAGGAUGGGGAGGUCAGAGUUGGUUCUUUGUGGGGUUUCUUUUAUUAUUGUUGUAGUUUGGGGAGGGAGUGGUAUUUUAUGGCAAAGAACGAGAAAAUGUCUCUAAAUUGGACAGCAUUGCCUGCCUCGGACUUUUUGAAUUACCUCUGACUUAAAGAUUAUAAAGUGUUUAUUUUUCUCUUCCAAGAAGGGAGGGCAUAGUAAUUUCCUCCAUUACCCUCAUGCUCUCCUCCCUCUGCUGUUGAGGGGACAGUUCAUUGAUGAUAGCUCCCUUGUGCUCAGUCAACACUGAUAGCAAAAAUAAAGAAAAUAAACAGCAUAUUACCUGUGAAAGAAUGGGGAGCCCCUGUAAGUCCAACCUAAUAAACAUCCAAGGACUAUUGGGCCUGUCACUUGACAUUUUGAUGGAAAUGGCUGUUGUUGUAUUUCUAGAAAUCAGAGGAAACAUCAGAACCUUUGCAAACAGGAAAGCUGCAUAACAUUUCAAAUACCAGUUAAGUGCCUAUAUUUAUAGGUAGUGUUCACUGUUUCAAAUAUAACCCUGCAAUUCUUUUGGAGAGAGGUUCUGACAGGGCUAACAGACCUGUUUAAAAUAUAUAUAUAUGCAUAUAUAUAUCAUUUUUAAAUGAUGCUGAAAUUUCCUUUUAUUCCUUCAAUAAUUUGCAGUUGGAAUUCAUAAUUUUAGCAGUAUUUCUCACAUAUAAUGCCAAAUUCGGUAACACCUACUUAAAGUGCAUUGUAGCAUGUGUUUAAGAUACAUUGAGCUCUUUGCAGAAAAGGUGCUAUAGAAAUCUAAUAAAUAAUAAGUAGAUGAUUGACAAAGGAUAACAUUAAGAGCUCAUUUUUGAAACUUUAUAAAAAUACAUGCAUUUGGGUUAAUUCUCAGCUAGACAAUCUCCUUGGCAGGUAAUGUGUAAGGGAUCCUACAUGCCCCAGAUUUUAAGGUUCUGGAAUAUGAUGGAGAGGAAAAAAAAAGGCCUACAGAAGAUAGUUCUGAGGUUACAAUAGUUCUCAACAAGAAUCCAGGCAGGAAUCCUCCCAAUUUUGGCCUUGAAAAUGCAUUCACUGAUGUUAUUUGGAAUGUGAAAGAAAUCCAAAAUAUAUAGAAGGUAGAGUUAUAAAGGGCGGCUGGAUUCAACCACAUGGCCAAAUUUGAAUCAGCAAACUGACAUUCUCUAAGAUAACACACAUUAUGUCCUUU